UACGUAGGUGGCGAGCGUUGUCCGGAAUUAUUGGGCGUAAAGAGCGUGUAGGUGGGAUAGUAAGUCUUAUGUAAAAGUGCGGGGCUCAACCCCGUAAAGCGUGAGAAACUGCUAUUCUUGAGUGCCGGAGAGGAAAGCGGAAUUCCCAGUGUAGCGGUGAAAUGCGUAGAUAUUGGGAGGAACACCAGUGGCGAAGGCGGCUUUCUGGACGGUGUCUGACACUGAGGCGCGAAAGCUAGGGGAGCGAACGGG
rnacentral:rRNA from 1 species